GGCUUGAUAGGCAGCGGCAGAGGAAGAUCACAAAUUGGCCAGUCCAUCAUAGCGGCCACAUCGCAGCGUUCCAACAGUGUUUGGAAGCGGCACGGAAUGCUGGCCCUGAGCAGAUUGUGCCUCACAACUUCGCCGCUUUCAACAACUACCUCGAGUGGUUCCAUGAGAACACGCGUAUCGAGUUAGUUAAGCACGCGUAUCCUGAGGAGAUCUUGGACGACCCCAUCCAGUUCGAUGAGGUUGGGCAAAGCCAGCACGACACCUUUGCUCGCAGAGGGAGAUCGACUUCUAUUGCUUCCGAGCUGAACUUCGUGCGGAAGGAGAUCGAAAAAACAGCUGAGGAGUGCGAGGUUAUGUGGGAGCAGAGCGGGACAGAUGACAAGCCUGUCGGACCAUUGCGGUAUUUCAUUAAGGUAUGAUCACCAACUUUGAAUGUACGAUACUAUGAUGUGGUGGAUUUGUAACCAUGAACGGGAUAACGCAGAACACUGCACGAAAGAUGCGGCGGUUAGCCAGCUUGCUAGGUUGCCGGGAUGCCGAAAUCGCUACAUCUUCCUCUUCAGAAGAGCGGGAGAUUCCUGAGGACGAGCUAAUUCUGAGUCAAGCCAUACUUUCAAAGCGUACCUCGAAGCAAGCCCCACGGUCAGCUUACCAGUUGAAGCCAAGGGGCAAGGGUCCAAACCGGUACACUCCGGAAGAUUAUGUCAACCGAGGAAAGAAGGUUGUCACUGAGGAGG